rnacentral:rRNA from 1 species
UUGAACGCUGGCGGCAGGCCUAACACAUGCAGGUCGAACGGUAACAGGAAGAAGCUUGCUUCUUUGCUGACGAGUGGCGGACGGGUGAGUAAUGUCUGGGAAACUGCCUGAUGGAGGGGGAUAACUACUGGAAACGGUAGCUAAUACCGCAUAACGUCGCAAGACCAAAGAGGGGGACCUUCGGGCCUCUUGCCAUCGGAUGUGCCCAGAUGGGAUUAGCUAGUAGGUUGGGUAACGGCUCACCUAGGCGACGAUCCCUAGCUGGUCUGAGAGGAUGACCAGCCACACGGGAACUGAGGCACGGUCCAGACUCCUACGGGAGGCAGCAGUGGGGAAUAUUGCACAAUGGGCGCAAGCCUGAUGCAGCCAUGCCGAGUGUAUGAAGAAGGCCUUCGGGUUGUAAAGUACUUUCAGCGGGGAGGAAGGGAGUAAAGUUAAUACCUUUGCGCAUUGACGUUACCCGCAGAAGAAGCACCGGCUAACUCCGUG